GACGAACGCUGGCGGCGUGCCUAAUACAUGCAAGUAGAACGCUGAAGGAGGAGCUUGCUUCUCUGGAUGAGUUGCGAACGGGUGAGUAACGCGUAGGUAACCUGCCUGGUAGCGGGGGAUAACUAUUGGAAACGAUAGCUAAUACCGCAUAAGAGUAGAUGUUGCAUGACAUUUGCUUAAAAGGUGCAAUUGCAUCACUACCAGAUGGACCUGCGUUGUAUUAGCUAGUUGGUGGGGUAACGGCUCACCAAGGCAACGAUACAUAGCCGACCUGAGAGGGGGAUCGGCCACACUGGGACUGAGACACGGCCCAGAAGCCUACGGGAGGCAGCAGUAGGGAAUCUUCGGCAAUGGACGGAAGUCUGAACGAGCAACGCCGCGGGAGUGAAGAAGGUUUUCGGAUCGUAAAGCUCUGUUGUAAGAGAAGAAAGAGUGUGAGAGUGGAAAGUUCACACUGUGACGGUAUCUUACCAGAAAGGGACGGCUAACUACGUG
rnacentral:rRNA from 1 species